rnacentral:rRNA from 1 species
UGGGGAAUAUUGCACAAUGGGCGAAAGCCUGAUGCAGCGACGCCGCGUGAGGGAUGACGGCCUUCGGGUUGUAAACCUCUUUCAGCAGGGAAGAAGCGAAAGUGACGGUACCUGCAGAAGAAGCGCCGGCUAACUACGUGCCAGCAGCCGCGGUAAUACGUAGGGCGCAAGCGUUGCCCGGAAUUAUUGGGCGUAAAGAGCUCGUAGGCGGUUAGUCGCGUCUGCUGUGAAAACUCGAGGCUCAACCUCGGGCUUGCAGUGGGUACGGGCUGACUAGAGUGCGGUAGGGGUGACUGGAAUUCCUGGUGUAGCGGUGGAAUGCGCAGAUAUCAGGAGGAACACCGAUGGCGAAGGCAGGUCACUGGGCCGCAACUGACGCUGAGGAGCGAAAGCAUGGGGAGCGAACAGGAUUAGAUACCCUGGUAGUCCAUGCCGUAAACGUUGGGCACUAGGUGUGGGGUCCAUUCCACGGAUUCCGUGCCGCAGCAAAUGCAUUAAGUGCCCCGCCUGGGGAGUACGGCCGCAAGGCUAAACUCAAAUGAAUUGACGGGGUCAUAGCUGUUUCCU